rnacentral:rRNA from 1 species
CCUACGGGUGGCAGCAGUAGGGAAUAUUGCUCAAUGGGGGAAACCCUGAAGCAGCAACGCCGCGUGGGGGAUGAAGGUUUUCGGAUUGUAAACUCCUUUUGUUAGAGAAGAUAAUGACGGUAUCUAACGAAUAAGCACCGGCUAACUCCGUGCCAGCAGCCGCGGUAAUACGGAGGGUGCACGCGUUACUCGGAAUCACUGGGCGUAAAGGGCGCGGAGGCGGGAUAGCAAGUCAGAUGUGAAAGCCUAUGGCUUAACCAUAGAACUGCAUUUGAAACUGUUAUUCUAGAGUAUGGGAGAGGUAGGUGGAAUUCUUGGUGUAGGGGUAAAAUCCGUAGAGAUCAAGAGGAAUACUCAUUGCGAAGGCGACCUGCUAGAACAUAACUGACGCUGAUGCGCGAAAGCGUGGGGAGCAAACAGGAUUAGAUACCCGAGUAGUC